rnacentral:rRNA from 1 species
UACGUAGGGUGCAAGCGUUAAUCGGAAUUACUGGGCGUAAAGCGUGCGCAGGCGGCUUUGCAAGACAGAUGUGAAAUCCCCGGGCUUAACCUGGGAACUGCGCUCGAAACUACUUGGCUGGAGUGUGGCAGAGGAAGGUGGAAUUCCACGUGUAGCGGUGAAAUGCGUAGAGAUGUGGAGGAACACCGAUGGCGAAGGCAGCCUUCUGGGCCAACACUGACGCUCAUGCACGAAAGCGUGGGGAGCAAACAGG